rnacentral:rRNA from 1 species
GACGACGCUGGCGGCGUGCUUAACACAUGCAAGUCGAACGGUGAAAGAGAGCUUGCUCUCUGGAUCAGUGGCGAACGGGUGAGUAACACGUGAGUAACCUGCCCCAGACUCUGGAAUAACCCCGGGAAACCGGAGCUAAUACCGGAUACGAGACGGAGAGGCAUCUCUACCGUCUGGAAAGUUUUUCGGUCUGGGAUGGACUCGCGGCCUAUCAGCUUGUUGGUGAGGUAAUGGCUCACCAAGGCGACGACGGGUAGCCGGCCUGAGAGGGCGACCGGCCACACUGGGACUGAGACACGGCCCAGACUCCUACGGGAGGCAGCAGUGGGGAAUAUUGCACAAUGGGCGAAAGCCUGAUGCAGCGACGCCGCGUGAGGGAUGACGGCCUUCGGGUUGUAAACCUCUUUCAGUAGGGAAGAAGCGAAAGUGACGGUACCUACAAAAGAAGCACCGGCUAACUACGUG